rnacentral:piRNA from 1 species
UUUUACCGGGAUCAGAAGACACGAUUUUUC